CCUACGGGUGGCUGCAGUCGAGAAUCAUUCACAAUGGGGGAAACCCUGAUGGUGCGACGCCGCGUGGAGGAAUGAAGCUCUUCGGGUUGUAAACCCCUGUCAUGUGGGAGCAAAUUAAAAAGAUAGUACCACAAGAGGAAGAGACGGCUAACUCUGUGCCAGCAGCCGCGGUAAUACAGAGGUCUCAAGCGUUGAUCGGAUUCACUGGGCGUAAAGCGUGCGUAGUCGGGUUCGUAAGUCGGGUGUGAAAGGCGGGGGCUCAACCCGCGGACGGCACAUGAUACUGGGAGACUAGAGUAAAGGUGAGGGAGGCGGAAUUCGCGGUGUAGCAGUGAAAUGCGUAGAUAUCGAGAGGAACACU
rnacentral:rRNA from 1 species